GACGAUUGAUGAUUACGUUGGUA
rnacentral:siRNA from 1 species